rnacentral:rRNA from 1 species
CCUACGGGGUGCAGCAGUGGGGAAUAUUGGUCAAUGGAGGCAACUCUGACCCAGCAACGCCGCGUGAAUGAUGAAGGUCUUCGGAUUGUAAAGUUCUUUUCUAAGGGAAGAAGAAAGGGACGGUAGCUUAGGAUUAAGCAUCGGCUAACUACAUGCGAGCAGCCGAGGUAAUAGUUAGGAGGCAGGCGUUAUCCGGAGUGACUGGGCGUAAAGGGUGCGUAGGUGGUCUGACAAGUUAGUGGCGCAACUCCGGAGCUCAACUUCGGAAUUACUAAUAAAACUGUUGGACUUGAGUGCAGAAGGGGAGAUCGGAAUUCCUGGUGUAGCGGUGGAAUGCUUAGAUAUUAGGAAGAACACCAGUGGCGAAGGCGAAUUGCUAGGCUGUAACUGACGCUGAGGCACGAAAGCGUGGGGAGCAAACAGGAUUAGAUACCCGAGUAGUC